AGAACGAACGCUGGCGGCGUGGAUAAGACAUGCAAGUCGAACGCGAUUUAUCAGGUUAGCAAUAACUUGGUAAAUUGAGUGGCGAAAGGGUGCGUAACACGUGGGAAUUUACCGAGAAGUGGGGAAUAGCUCGACGAAAGUCGAAUUAAUACCGCAUGUGAUCGAAAGAUCAAAGCCGGGGACCGCAAGGCCUGGCGCUUCUUGAGAAGCCCGCGGCCCAUCAGCUAGUUGGCGGGGUAAAAGCCCACCAAGGCUAUGACGGGUAGCUGGUCUGAGAGGACGACCAGCCACACUGGAACUGAGACACGGUCCAGACACCUACGGGUGGCAGCAGUCGAGAAUUUUUCACAAUGGAC
rnacentral:rRNA from 1 species